rnacentral:rRNA from 1 species
UACGAAGGGGGCUAGCGUUGCUCGGAAUCACUGGGCGUAAAGCGCACGUAGGCGGCUUUUUAAGUCAGGGGUGAAAUCCUGGAGCUCAACUCCAGAACUGCCUUUGAUACUGAGAAGCUUGAGUCCGGGAGAGGUGAGUGGAACUGCGAGUGUAGAGGUGAAAUUCGUAGAUAUUCGCAAGAACACCAGUGGCGAAGGCGGCUCACUGGCCCGAUACUGACGCUGAGGUACGAAAGCGUGGGGAGCAAACAGG